CGGCGAACGGGUGAGUAACACGUGGGUGACCUACCCAGGAGACCGGGAUAACAGUUUGAAAGGGCUGCUAAUACCGGAUGAUACUGCUAUUUUAAGAGGUAGUAGUUAAAGUGUUAUGUAGCGCUUCUGGAUGAGCCCGCGUCCCAUUAGCUAGUUGGUGGGGUAAUGGCCUACCAAGGCUGCGAUGGGUAGCCGGUCUGAGAGGAUGGUCGGCCACACUGGGACUGAGAUACGGCCCAGACUCCUACGGGAGGCAGCAGUGGGGAAUUUUGCGCAAUGGGGGCGACCCUGACGCAGCGACGCCGUGUGGGUGAAGAAGGCCUUCGGGUUGUAAAGCCUUGUUUAGGGGGAAGAUGGUGACGGUACCCCUGGAGGAAGCCCCGGCUAACUACGUGCCAGCAGCCGCGGUAAUACGUAGGGGGCGAGCGUUGUCCGGAAUUAUUGGGCGUAAA
rnacentral:rRNA from 1 species